UGAAGCGAGUGGCGAACUGGUGAGUAACACGUGGGAAAUCUGCCCAGAAGCAGGGGAUAACACUUGGAAACAGGUGCUAAUACCGUAUAACAACAAAAUCCGCAUGGAUUUUGUUUGAAAGGUGGCUUCGGCUAUCACUUCUGGAUGAUCCCGCGGCGUAUUAGUUAGUUGGUGAGGUAAAGGCCCACCAAGACGAUGAUACGUAGCCGACCUGAGAGGGUAAUCGGCCACAUUGGGACUGAGACACGGCCCAAACUCCUACGGGAGGCAGCAGUAGGGAAUCUUCCACAAUGGACGAAAGUCUGAUGGAGCAAUGCCGCGUGAGUGAAGAAGGGUUUCGGCUCGUAAAACUCUGUUGUUAAAGAAGAACACCUUUGAGAGUAACUGUUCAAGGGUUGACGGUAUUUAACCAGAAAGCCACGGCUAACUACGUGCCAGCAGCCGCGGUAAUACGUAGGUGGCAAGCGUUGUCCGGAUUUAUUGGGCGUAAAGCGAGCGCAGGCGGUUUUUUAAGUCUGAUGUGAAAGCCUUCGGCUUAACCGGAGAAGUGCAUCGGAAACUGGGAGACUUGAGUGCAGAAGAGGACAGUGGAACUCCAUGUGUAGCGGUGGAAUGCGUAGAUAUAUGGAAGAACACCAGUGGCGAAGGCGGCUGUCUAGUCUGUAACUGACGCUGAGGCUCGAAAGCAUGGGUAGCGAACAGGAUUAGAUACCCUGGUAGUCCAUGCCGUAAACGAUGAGUGCUAAGUGUUGGAGGGUUUCCGCCCUUCAGUGCUGCAGCUAACGCAUUAAGCACUCCGCCUGGGGAGUACGACCGCAAGGUUGAAACUCAAAGGAAUUGACGGGGGCCCGCACAAGCGGUGGAGCAUGUGGUUUAAUUCGAAGCUACGCGAAGAACCUUACCAGGUCUUGACAUCUUCUGCCAAUCUUAGAGAUAAGACGUUCCCUUCGGGGACAGAAUGACAGGUGGUGCAUGGUUGUCGUCAGCUCGUGUCGUGAGAUGUUGGGUUAAGUCCCGCAACGAGCGCAACCCUUAUUAUCAGUUGCCAGCAUUCAGUUGGGCACUCUGGUGAGACUGCCGGUGACAAACCGGAGGAAGGUGGGGAUGACGUCAAAUCAUCAUGCCCCUUAUGACCUGGGCUACACACGUGCUACAAUGGACGGUACAACGAGUCGCGAAGUCGUGAGGCUAAGCUAAUCUCUUAAAGCCGUUCUCAGUUCGGAUUGUAGGCUGCAACUCGCCUACAUGAAGUUGGAAUCGCUAGUAAUCGC
rnacentral:rRNA from 1 species